rnacentral:rRNA from 1 species
ACUCCUACGGGAGGCAGCAGUGGGGAAUAUUGCACAAUGGGCGCAAGCCUGAUGCAGCCAUGCCGCGUGUAUGAAGAAGGCCUUCGGUUGUAAAGUACUUUCAGCAGUGAGGAAGGCAGGUACGUUAAUAGCGUGCUUGUUUGACGUUAGCUGCAGAAGAAGCACCGGCUAACUCCGUGCCAGCAGCCGCGGUAAUACGGAGGGUGCGAGCGUUAAUCGGAAUUACUGGGCGUAAAGCGCAUGCAGGUGGUUUGUUAAGUCAGAUGUGAAAGCCCGGGGCUCAACCUCGGAAUUGCAUUUGAAACUGGCAGACUAGAGUACUGUAGAGGGGGUAGAAUUUCAGGUGUAGCGGUGAAAUGCGUAGAGAUCUGAAGGAAUACCGGUGGCGAAGGCGGCCCCCUGGACAGAUACUGACACUCAGAUGCGAAAGCUGGGGAGCAAACAGGAUUAGAUACCCUGGUAGGAUAGC